UAGUGUAACAGCUCUUUUAGAAUUUGUCUAGCAGGCUUUCCGCACUGGAAAGCCCAA
rnacentral:snRNA from 1 species